GAUGAACGCUGGCGGCGUGCCUAAUACAUGCAAGUCGAGCGAACAGACGAGGAGCUUGCUCCUCUGACGUUAGCGGCGGACGGGUGAGUAACACGUGGAUAACCUACCUAUAAGACUGGGAUAACUUCGGGAAACCGGAGCUAAUACCGGAUAAUAUAUUGAACCGCAUGGUUCAAUAGUGAAAGACGGUUUUGCUGUCACUUAUAGAUGGAUCCGCGCCGCAUUAGCUAGUUGGUAAGGUAACGGCUUACCAAGGCAACGAUGCGUAGCCGACCUGAGAGGGUGAUCGCCCACACUGGAACUGAGACACGGUCCAGACUCCUACGAGAGGCAGCAGUAGGGAAUCUUCCGCAAUGGUCGAAAACCUGACGGAGCAGCGCCGAGUGAGUGAUGAAGGUCUUCGGAUCGUAAAAAUCUGUUAUUAGGGAAGAACAAAUGUGUAAGUAACUAUGCACGUCUUGACGGUACCUAAUCAGAAAGCCACGGCUAACUACGUG
rnacentral:rRNA from 1 species